rnacentral:rRNA from 1 species
UACAGCCACCAUCAAUACUCUGAACAUAUCUGAUCUUGUCUGAAUUUGGAUGAUAAAGAGGGUUGGUUCUGAUUAGUACAUAGAUGGGAGACCACCAGGAAUCUCCAGGUGGGGAUAGGA